UACGGGGGGGGCAAGCGUUGUUCGGAAUUACUGGGCGUAAAGGGCUCGUAGGCGGCCAACUAAGUCAGAUGUGAAAUCCCCGGGCUUAACCUGGGAACUGCGUUUGAAACUGGAAGGCUUGAGUGUGGCAGAGGGGGGUGGAAUUCCACGUGUAGCAGUGAAAUGCGUAGAGAUGUGGAGGAACACCGAUGGCGAAGGCAACUGCCUGGGCCUGAUCUGACGCUGAGGUACGAAAGCGUGGGUAGCAAACAGG
rnacentral:rRNA from 1 species